GAUGAACGCUGGCGGCGUGCCUAAUACAUGCAAGUCGAGCGAACAGACGAGGAGCUUGCUCCUCUGACGUUAGCGGCGGACGGGUGAGUAACACGUGGAUAACCUACCUAUAAGACUGGGAUAACUUCGGGAAACCGGAGCUAAUACCGGAUAAUAUAUUGAACCGCAUGGUUCAAUAGUUAAAGACGGUUUUGCUGUCACUUAUAGAUGGAUCCGCGCCGCAUUAGCUAGUUGGUAAGGUAACGGCUUACCAAGGCGACGAUGCGUAGCCGACCUGAGAGGGUGAUCGGACACACUGGAACUGAGACACGGUCCAGACUCCUACGGGAGGCAGCAGUAGGGACUCUUCCGCAAUGGGCGAAAGCCUGACGGAGCAACGCCGCGUGAGUGAUGAAGGUCUUCGGAUCGUAAAACUCUGUUAUUAGGGAAGAACAAAUGUGUAAGUAACUAUGCACGUCUUGACGGUACCUAAUCAGAAAGCCACGGCUAACUACGUG
rnacentral:rRNA from 1 species